CCCUAGCCCCGAUUGCAGUGGAAAUCCUUUUUUGCGUUUACUGAAAGUUCUAUUGAGAGGGAAAUCGUCUGCAAAAAAGAUUGCAACGGAAAGCGGGAAAUAGC
rnacentral:sRNA from 1 species